GGGCCCGCACAAGCGGAGGAGCAUGUGGUUUAAUUCGAUGAUACGCGAGGAACCUUACCUGGGCUCGAACGUGUGAAGACGUGAGGGGAAACUUUCAUUCUAGCAAUAGCUUCAUACGAGGUGCUGCAUGGUUGUCGUCAGCUCGUGCCGUGAGGUGUCAGGUUAAGUCCUAUAACGAGCGCAACCCCUACUUUUAGUUGCCAGCAUGUCAUGAUGGGGACUCUAAAAGAACUGCCAGCGCAAGCUGUGAGGAAGGUGGGGAUGACGUCAAAUCAGCACGGCCCUUAUGUCCAGGGCUACACACGUGCUACAAUGGUCGAUACAGAGGGCAGCUACUUGGUGACAAGAUGCAAAUCUCGAAAAUCGAUCUCAGUUCGGAUCGGAGUCUGUAACUCGACUCCGUGAAGUUGGAUUCGCUAGUAAUCGCAUAUCAGCCAUGAUGCGGUGAAUACGUUCCCGGGCCUU
rnacentral:rRNA from 1 species